ACUUUUGGUGGAGGCACCAAACUCAUCGUUGACUUGGGAGUGGUGCAGCCCACGCUGAGCGUCCUCCCUCCCUCCAGAGUGGAGCUGGAGCAGGGCAGUGCUACACUAGUGUGUGUGGCCAGUGGGGGCUUCCCCUCAGACUGGAAGCUUGGCUGGAAGGUGGGGGGCAGCAGCAGGUCUGGGGGGGUGUCAGAUAGCCUGGUGGUCCUGGGGAAAGAUGGCCACUACAGCUGGAGCAGCACCUUGACCCUCCCUGCAGACCAGUGGAGGAAGGCGGGCUCAGUGAGCUGUGAGGCCAGUAAGAAUGGCCAGACGCAGCCUGUCACUCAAACCCUGAAUCCUGGAGAGUGUUCAGAGUAGAAAGGCUCCAGCAUGGAGGUACUGGAGGAUACAGAUCUCCUCUGACACGUCUGCUUUAUGUCUCUCUGUCUCAGGUGGCACCGCAGCUUUUGAUGAUUUACAUUAAUAUAACAUGUCUGAUUCAUUAACGUUAUGCCUUCAGAUAUUUACCCGUUGCUUGUGUUGGUCACAUGUUGA